GAUGAAGAACGUAGCGAAAUGCGAUAAGUAAUGUGAAUUGCAGAAUUCAGUGAAUCAUCGAAUCUUUGAACGCACCUUGCACCCUUUGGCAUUCCGAAGGGUAUGCUCGUUUGAGUGUCAUUGUACUCUCACACUUCCAAUUCUUUGGAUUGGGAGCGGUGGACUUGGGUGCUGCUGCUUACCGUGGCUCACCUCAAAUGGAUUCGUGCAACUCCUGGUUGGACAUAGUACGGCGUGAUAAGUGUCUUCGCCGGCACCUCACUAGAGGGUGGCUGACCGGGAGCUCUGUGCUUCAAACCGUCUUCGGACAACAACUGACAACUUGACCUCAAAUCGAGUAGGACCACCCGCUGAACUUAAGCAUAUCAAUAAGCGGAGGA
rnacentral:misc_RNA from 1 species